rnacentral:rRNA from 1 species
GACGAACGCUGGAGGCGUGCUUAACACAUGCAAGUCGAACGAUGAAAUGGAGCUUGCUCCAUGGAUUAGUGGCGAACGGGUGAGUAACACGUGAAUAACCUGCCCUUAAUUUUGGAAUAACCCAGGGAAACCUGGGCUAAUACCGGAUAAGUAAACCUGUGGCAUCACAUGGUUUUGGAAAGUUUUUCGAUUAAGGAUGGAUUCGCGGCCUAUCAGCUUGUUGGUGAGGUAAUGGCUCACCAAGGCGACGACGGGUAGCCGGCCUGAGAGGGUGAACGGCCACACUGGGACUGGGACACGGCCCAGACUCCGACGGGAGGCAGCAGUGGGGAAUAUUGCGCAAUGGACGAAAGUCUGACGCAGCGACGCCUCGUGAGGGACGAAGGUCUUCGGAUUGUAAACCUCUUUCAGCAGGGACGAAGCGAAAGUGACGGUACCUGCAGAAGAAGCACCGGCUAACUAUGUGCCAGCCGCCGCGGUAA